rnacentral:lncRNA from 1 species
CCUACUUUUUAAAUUAAUUAAUUAAUUUAUUUAUUUUGAUACGGAGUCUCGCUCUGUCGCCCAGGCUGGAAUACAGUGGUGCAAUCUUGGCUCACUGCACCCUCUGCCUCCCAGGUUCAAGCGAUUCUCCUGCCUCAGCCUCCUGAGUAGCUGGGACUACAGGCACCCACCACCAUGCCCAGCUAAUUUUUUUGUAUUUUUAGUAGAGACGGGAUUUCACCAUGUUUGUCAGGCUGGUUUCGAACUCCUGACCUUUUAGGUUGACUUCCCCAGAAAUCUGGCCAAGUCUGUAACUGUGGAAUGAGGCUGAGACUGUGACAAGACCAUCACCACCUUUCAUCUGAUUCCAGACCUGU